CAGGAGUUUACCUCUGCAAGCCAGUUACAGCAGAUUUUACGAUCCCUGCUCCACUGAUCGUCAUGAUUUAUAGGAUUGGUUCUGUUCUUGCAACUGUCUUGGCUUUGACCACAUGGACAUACUAUUAUCCAAAAGAACAAAUGACAAACCAGACAAAGGUCAGUAUUCUGUCACUCACAGAGAGACAGUCACAGAGGCAUGUAGAACAAUGGCCAGUGGCAUUAAAGGAACAGCAGAAGGUUACUGAAAAGAUGAAAAAAGAACCCAAACAAGAACCUGAAACAGUAAGCAAAUAUAAAACAAGUUAUUUCAAUGUGUCUUUAAAUUUGUAACUAUUUGAACUUUUUUACUUUUCAGUAUAUAAUGUGCCAAAAUCAAACAGAUGAACUUGUCUUCACAUCUCAAGUUGUGUCCUUAAGUGGACCCCUCCCUCUUGAGACAGUUUUCAUCCUUCUACUCAUUGACAAAUGUGGAGCUGAUUUAGUGGCAGCCGUCUAUGAAGUGACUCUCCAGUUCCCCAUUGGGAGCGUCCUUGAGUUGAUGUUGGGAUUAACAAGUGUAUAUGCUAUACAUAGACUG